CACGUAGGGGGCGAGCGUUGUCCGGAUUUAUUGGGCGUAAAGAGCUCGUAGGCGGCUCAGUAAGUCAGGUGUGAAAACUCCAGGCUCGACCUGGAGACGCCACCUGAUACUGCUGUGGCUAGAGUCCGGUAGGGGAGCAUGGAAUUCCUGGUGUAGCGGUGAAAUGCGCAGAUAUCAGGAGGAACACCAGUGGCGAAGGCGGUGCUCUGGGCCGGAACUGACGCUGAGGAGCGAAAGCGUGGGGAGCAAACAGG
rnacentral:rRNA from 1 species